rnacentral:rRNA from 1 species
GACGAACGCUGGCGGCGUGCUUAACACAUGCAAGUCGAACGGAAAGGCCCUGCUUUUGUGGGGUGCUCGAGUGGCGAACGGGUGAGUAACACGUGAGUAACCUGCCCUUGACUUUGGGAUAACUUCAGGAAACUGGGGCUAAUACCGGAUAGGAGCUCCUGCUGCAUGGUGGGGGUUGGAAAGUUUCGGCGGUUGGGGAUGGACUCGCGGCUUAUCAGCUUGUUGGUGGGGUAGUGGCUUACCAAGGCUUUGACGGGUAGCCGGCCUGAGAGGGUGACCGGCCACAUUGGGACUGAGAUGCGGCCCAGACUACUACGGGAGGCAGCAGUGGGGAAUAUUGCACAAUGGGCGGAAGCCUGAUGCAGCAACGCCGCGUGCGGGAUGACGGCCUUCGGGUUGUAAACCGCUGUCGCCUGUGACGAAGCGUGAGUGACGGUAAUGGGUAAAGAAGCACCGGCUAACUACGUG